rnacentral:rRNA from 1 species
AGUGAACGCUGGCGGUAGGCCUAACACAUGCAAGUCGAACGGCAGCACAGUAAGAGCUUGCUCUUACGGGUGGCGAGUGGCGGACGGGUGAGGAAUACAUCGCAAUCUACUUUUUCGUGGGGGAUAACGUAGGGAAACUUACGCUAAUACCGCAUACGACCUACCGGUGAAAGCAGGGGAUCUUCGGACCUUGCGCGAUUGAAUGAGCCGAUGUCGGAUUAGCUAGUUGGCGGGGUAAAGGCCCACCAAGGCGACGAUCCGUAGCUGGUCUGAGAGGAUGAUCAGCCACACUGGAACUGAGACACGGUCCAGACUCCUACGGGAGGCAGCAGUGGGGAAUAUUGGACAAUGGGCGCAAGCCUGAUCCAGCCAUACCGCGUGGGUGAAGAAGGCCUUCGGGUUGUAAAGCCCUUUUGUUGGGAAAGAAAAGCAGCAGGUUAAUACCCCGCUGUUCUGACGGUACCCAAAGAAUAAGCACCGGCUAACUUCGUG